GCAGACAUUUCACUUAUUGAAUUGUAUUUGUACUAAACUGUGAACACCACAGUGAAUGAGAGGAAGUUAUUCUUUGAUUCUACCUCCUCUUAUUUGGACAGAUGAGCUCGAUGAGGUCAUCACAGAAGCCACAGACAUCGCAGCCACUCAAAGUCCCCAGAGAGGAGUUCAAAAAAGAGUCACAAGAAGAGUCGAAGAGGAAACGAGUGAUGUUUCUUAUAUAUCUUCCCUUUUUAUUUUUUACCUCCAAACGGUCAUAGAACUUGCUUCUAAAUCUUGUACGAAAUUUGAGUUUUUUUAAUUUUAAGUUUACAAGUCAUUUCCAUUUUCGAUGUUGGACCACCGACAUGUCUAAGAUUUUACAAUGUAAAGCCCUCCGGUCUCAGCAGUGUGUAUGGACAGUAUAUAUUCACUCACUCCAUCUGCAGCCUUUCAGCCUCAUUCUCACACCCUCUGAGAGAGAGCAAUCUUACAGUACGCCCCGUCUUCAGAUACUUACGGCUAUUAUUGAUAACUUUUGGAUCUGUGUAAAUGUAGAAAAUGUGUUUCUGUAUGUUAAGAAUGAGUUUCACACUCUGACCUGACAUUUGUCAGAAAUAAAGACCCUGAUUCCUUA